GGGGAUGUAGCUCAGUUGGUAGAGUGCGUGCCUCCUAAGAACAAUGGUCCUGGGUUCAAUCCCCAGCACCACCA